rnacentral:rRNA from 1 species
UGACGGUACCUGACUAAGAAGCACCGGCUAAAUACGUGCCAGCAGCCGCGGUAAUACGUAGGUGGCAAGCGUUAUCCGGAUUUAUUGGGCGUAAAGGGAACGCAGGCGGUUUUUUAAGUCUGAUGUGAAAGCCUUCGGCUUAACCGGAGAAUAGCAUUGGAAACUGGAAGACUUGAGUGCAGAAGAGGAGAGUGGAACUCCAUGUGUAGCGGUGAAAUGCGUAGAUAUAUGGAAGAACACCAGUGGCGAAAGCGGCUCUCUGGUCUGUAACUGACGCUGAGGUUCGAAAGCGUGGGUAGCAAACAGGAUUAGAUACCCUG